GCGCCUGUAGCUCAACUGGAUAGAGUGCUUGACUACGGAUCAAGAGGUUAUGGGUUCGACUCCCUAUCAGGCGCGCCA
rnacentral:tRNA from 1 species